rnacentral:rRNA from 1 species
GACGAAGGUGGCUAGCGUUAUUCGGAUUUACUGGGCAUAAAGCGCACGUAGGCGGAUUGUUAAGUCAGGGGUGAAAUCCUGGAGCUCAACUCCAGAACUGCCUUUGAUACUGGCGAUCUCGAGUCCGGGAGAGGUGAGUGGAACUGCGAGUGUAGAGGUGAAAUUCGUAGAUAUUCGCAAGAACACCAGUGGCGAAGGCGGCUCACUGGCCCGGUACUGACGCUGAGGUGCGAAAGCGUGGGGAGCAAACAGG